rnacentral:lncRNA from 1 species
GAAAAAGUAAACAGACGGAAUGAGAGAGAGGGAGACACAUGAAAAAGGAAGCCCACGAUUCCCCUCUUCUCUGCCAGAUCACCACCACCUCUUCCUCCACCUCGCCGCCGGAUCUCCCCCUCCCCUCCUCCCACCUCGCAGCUCUGGCGGCUGCCGGAUCCACCGCAUCCCCCAACCUCGAGGUCCCCAUCAAACCACGACGCCCUCCGAUCCGACUCAAUCCGGUGCUUGCGGCCACCCACGACCCUCCCCCUAGGGUUUCGGGUGCCGGCUCCGGUGCCGAUGGCCAUGGCAUCCUCCUCUCAUUCGGUGAGUGCAUCCCUUCCCCUGGCUACGUCCUCUCUCCCUCCCCCUUCCUCUAACCACUAUUAUCCUCUUCUCAUGUACACGUGCAGGGAGGAACUAGCUGUGUGUGAACUCCACCAUGACGCUGCUGAUGGUGAUGACGUGAUGUGCCGCGGCGUCGACGNGGAACUAGCUGUGUGUGAACUCCACCAUGACGCUGCUGAUGGUGAUGACGUGAUGUGCCGCGGCGUCGACGAGGAUGUGCUAAGGCGGGAAGUUGAAAGGGAAUACAUGACCAUGAAACUCGAUGGCACGGUGCUGGGGGUGGAAGACAUGGCCAACACGGCGCUGUAUGUGGAGUCAGACGAGGCUAGGUAUGUGACCGUGACUUGGACUUCAAAUUACCCCAUGAGUUAAGGCUGAACCUCCUACGUACCUAUGUGUUGGGUAACCACUACUAAACAUCUGAAUUUAUCCAAUGCUACCUCACCCAAAAAGCAUCAAGAUAAUUGNN